UGGGUUAGUCCGCAACGAGCGCACCCUAUCCUUAUUUGCCAGCGCGUUAUGGCGGGAACUCUAAGGAGACUGCCGGUGAUAAACCGGAGGAAGGUGGGGACGACGUCAAGUCAUCAUGGCCCUUACGGGAUGGGCUACGCACGUGCUACAAUGGCAAGUACAGAGGGCUGCAAUACCGCGAGGUGGAGCGAAUCCCAGAAAGCUUGUCGUAGUCCGGAUUGGAGUCUGCAACUCGACUCCAUGAAGUCGGAAUCGCUAGUAAUCGUGGAUCAGAAUGCCACGGUGAAUACGUUCCCGGGCCUUGUACACACCGCCCGUCACACCAUGGGAGUGGGAUGCAAAAGAAGUGGCUAGUUUAACCUUCGGGAGGACGGUCACCACUUUGUGUUUCAUGACUGGGGUGAAGUCGUAACAAGGUAGCCCUAGGGGAACCUGGGGCUGGAUCACCUCCUU
rnacentral:rRNA from 1 species